AGAUAUUGUUUGUUUUGGAUGUAUGGGUGUGGUAACCUUAUCCGUUACAAUUUUGUACUUAAAAGACAUCUCAUACAAUGGAAAGUGAAAAAAAAAAUUAUGUUUAACUUCCACUCUUAAAAUGAUAUUGAAUUAUUGAGUGUUGUAGAAACAAGUAUUAAAUUAUAUAAUGCAUUGAUGAAAUAUUUAAACUUAUUUAUUAC
rnacentral:lncRNA from 1 species